CUACGGAGGGUCCAAGCGUUAUCCGGAAUCAUUGGGUUUAAAGGGUCCGCAGGCGGUCAAUUAAGUCAGAGGUGAAAGCCCAUCGCUCAACGAUGGAACUGCCUUUGAUACUGGUUGACUUGAGUUAUACGGAAGUAGAUAGAAUAAGUAGUGUAGCGGUGAAAUGCAUAGAUAUUACUUAGAAUACCGAUUGCGAAGGCAGUCUACUACGUAUAUACUGACGCUGAGGGACGAAAGCGUGGGGAGCGAACAGGAUUAGAAACCCCUGUAGUCC
rnacentral:rRNA from 1 species